UGCCAGCCGCCGCGGUAAUACGUAAGUCGCAAGCGUUAUCCGGAAUUACUGGGCGUAAAGCGCACGUAGGCGGCAAUGUAAGUUGGGGGUGAAAUCCCGGGGCUCAACCCCGGAACUGCCUCCAAAACUACAUAGCUAGAGGAUGUGAGAGGAUAGUGGAAUUCCGAGUGUAGAGGUGAAAUUCGUAGAUAUUGGGAAGAACACCAGUGGCGAAGGCGGCUAACUGGCUCGGUACUGACGCUGAGAUGCGAAAGCGUGGGGAGCAAACAGGAUUAGAUA
rnacentral:rRNA from 1 species